UACGGAGGGGACUAGCGUUGUUCGGAAUUACUGGGCGUAAAGCGCACGUAGGCGGAUCUGUAAGUCAGGGGUGAAAUCCCGGGGCUCAACCUCGGAACUGCCUUUGAUACUGCGAGUCUUGAGUCCGAUAGAGGUGGGUGGAAUUCCUAGUGUAGAGGUGAAAUUCGUAGAUAUUAGGAAGAACACCGGUGGCGAAGGCGGCCCACUGGAUCGGUACUGACGCUGAGGUGCGAAAGCGUGGGGAGCAAACAGG
rnacentral:rRNA from 1 species